AGUGGUUGAUCACGAGUUAGUCGGUCCUAAGUUCAAGGCGAAAGCCGAAAAUUUUCAAGUAAAAAUAAAAUUUACUAUAUGUAAAAAUUAUAUACUUGAAUAAUUUUGAACGAAAGGGAAUACGGUUCCAAUUCCGUAACCUGUUGAGUAUCCGUUUGUUAUUAAAUAUGGGCCUCGUGCUCAUCCUGGCAACAGGAACGACCAUAAAGAAGCCGUCGAGAGAUAUCGGAAGAGUUUUCUUUUCUGUUUUAUAGUCGUACUACCAUGGAAGUCUUUCGCAGAGAGAUAUGGUAGAUGGGCUAGAAGAGCAUGACAUAUACUGUUGUGUCGAUAUUUUCUCCUCGGACCUUGAAAAUUUAUGGUGGGGAUACGCAAACUUCUCAACAGGCCGUACCAAUAUCCGCAGCUGGUCUCCAAGGUGAAGAGUCUCUAGUCGAUAGAAUAAUGUAGGUAAGGGAAGUCGGCAAAUUAGAUCCGUAACUUCGGGAUAAGGAUUGGCUCUGAAGAUUGAGAUAGUCGGGCUUGAUUGGGAAACAAUAAUAUGGUUUAUGUGCUCGUUCUGGGUAAAUAGAGUUUCGAUCAUUUAUGGUUGUAACUUGUUCCCCGGAUAGUUAGUUACGUAUCCAAUUGUGGAACUUUCUUGCUAAAAUUUUUAAGAAUACUAGUUGGGUCAAACCAAUUAGUUCUUAUUAAUUAUAACGAUUAUCAAUUAACAAUCAAUU
rnacentral:ncRNA from 1 species